rnacentral:rRNA from 2 species
UACGAAGGGGGCUAGCGUUGUUCGGAAUUACUGGGCGUAAAGCGCACGUAGGCGGACUUUUAAGUCAGGGGUGAAAUCCCGGGGCUCAACCUCGGAACUGCCUUUGAUACUGGAAGUCUUGAGUAUGGAAGAGGUAAGUGGAAUUGCGAGUGUAGAGGUGAAAUUCGUAGAUAUUCGCAGGAACACCAGUGGCGAAGGCGGCUUACUGGUCCAUUACUGACGCUGAGGUGCGAAAGCGUGGGGAGCAAACAGG